CUAAGCAUAUCAAUAAGCGGAGGAAAAGAAACCAACAGGGAUUGCCCUAGUAACGGCGAGUGAAGCGGCAACAGCUCAAAUUUGAAAUCUGGCUUCGGCCCGAGUUGUAAUUUGCAGAGGAUGUUUAUGGUGCGGUACCUUCCGAGUUCCCUGGAACGGGACGCCACAGAGGGUGAGAGCCCCGUCUGGUUGGAUACCAAACCUGUGUUAAACUCCUUCAACGAGUCGAGUAGUUUGGGAAUGCUGCUCUAAAUGGGAGGUAAAUCUCUUCUAAAGCUAAAUACUGGCCAGAGACCGAUAGCGCACAAGUAGAGUGAUCGAAAGAUGAAAAGCACCUUGAAAAGGGGGUUAAACAGUACGUGAAAUUGUUGAAAGGGAAGCGUUUAUGACCAGACUUGUGUCGUGUGGCUCAUCCGAGGUUCUCCCCGGUGCACUCCAUGCGGCUCAGGCCAACAUCGGUUCUUGUUGGAGGAUAAGAACAGUAGGAACGUAGCUCCUCUUCGGGGGAGUGUUAUAGCCUAUUGUACGAUACUCUGACGGGGACCGAGGACCGCGCUUCGGCUAGGAUGUUGGCGUAAUGGUCAUUAGCGACCCGUCUUGAAACACGGACCAAGGAGUCGUCCAUUAGAGCGAGCGUUUGGGUGUAAAACCCGCACGCGUAAUGAAAGUGAAAUUAGGUGAGAGCUUCGGCGCAUCAUCGACCGAUCCUGAAGUUUACGGAUGGAUUUGAGUAAGAGUUUUAACGGACGGACCCGAAAGACAGUGAACUAUGCUUGAAUAGGGUGAAGCCAGAGGAAACUCUGGUGGAGGCUCGCAGCGGUUCUGACGUGCAAAUCGAUCGUCAAAUUUGAGCAUGGGGGCGAAAGACUAAUCGAACUCAGCCCCA
rnacentral:rRNA from 1 species